GGAUGUGAGGGCCAUCUGCCUGUGACACCCAUCACCACACUGAUCUCCAGGGCUGAAAAGUUGAUUUGGCUGGUUAUGCACAGAUCCCCUUCCUCCCCCAAUGCACC
rnacentral:sRNA from 1 species